rnacentral:rRNA from 1 species
UUUGGAGGUAAAAAUAUAUUUGAAUACUAUUAGUUAAUUUCUUUUAAACUCAAAAAAUUUGGCGGUGAUUCUAAAUUUUAGAGGAACUUGUUUUUUAAUUGAUAAGCCACGAUAGUUAAUACCUUAAAGUUGAUUUGUAUAUCUCUAUAUGGUAGAAUAUUUUUUUAGGAUAAUUUUUUUUAACUAGUUUUUAAUUUGAUUUAAGUUAGGUCAAGGUGCAGUUUUAUACAAAGGUAAAUAUGAGUUACUUUAAUAUUAAAAAUUAUUUGGAGGUUUUGCUUUAGGGCAAAUCUUGAAAUUGGAUUUGAAAGU